GGUGGUUCAGUGGUAGAGUGCUUGCCUUGCAUGCAUGAGGCCUUGGGUUCGAUUCCUCAGCACCA
rnacentral:tRNA from 1 species